GCUGUGUUUGGCAAAGUGUGCGGUGCUCCGGUCAGGGUACCUCAUCAUGGAAAGCCUCAUUAGUGAUGUGAAAGAUGACAUGACAACGGAAGAUUUCGACAGGUUUGCCUCCAUCAUCAGGAGGGUGGAGAGCUUGCACAAGCUUGAUUCAGUAUCACUACUAAAAAGGGAGGCAACAAGGGCAUGUUUUCUAAGGAAGCAGCAGAUGUCCAACAUUUGCUAUCAAGGUAACCUUUUUGGCAAUUGCAUCUUCCAUUGUUAUUAGCUGGAUAGUUAUUGUUUAUUUAAUGAAGGGCAUAUUUUCUAA